rnacentral:rRNA from 1 species
UACGUAGGGUGCAAGCGUUGUCCGGAAUUAUUGGGCGUAAAGAGCUCGUAGGCGGUUUGUCGCGUCGAAUGUGAAACCCCGGGGCUCAACCCCGGGCCUGCAUUCGAUACGGGCAGACUAGAGUUCGGUAGGGGAGUCUGGAAUUCCUGGUGUAGCGGUGAAAUGCGCAGAUAUCAGGAGGAACACCGAUGGCGAAGGCAGGUCUCUGGGCCAUAACUGACGCUGAGAAGCGAAAGCAUGGGGAGCGAACAGG